UGGCGGCGUGCCUAACACAUGCAAGUCGAGCGAUGAAGGUUUUCUUCGGAAAACGGAUUAGCGGCGAACGGGUGAGGAACACGUGGGCAAUCUGCCCGACAGACGAGGAUAACUAUUGGAAACGAUAGCUAAUACUGGAUAGGAGAAGGAUCGCAUGGUCCGGAAUUUAAAGGUGCGUUUGCACCACUGUCGGAGGAGCCUGCGCUGCAUUAGCUAGUUGGAGAGGUAGAGGCUCCCCAAGGCGACGAUGCAUAGCUGGUCUGAGAGGAUGAACAGCCACACUGGGACUGAGACACGGCCCAGACUCCUACGGGAGGCAGCAGUAGGGAAUAUUCCACAAUGGGGGCAACCCUGAUGGAGCAAUGCCGCGUGAAUGAAGAAGCUUUUCGGAGUGUAAAAUUCUUUGGACAAGGAAGAAAAGUACAUAUAGGAAAUGAUAUGUAUGUGACGGUACUUGUCAAAAAAGCCCCGGCUAACUAUGUG
rnacentral:rRNA from 1 species